rnacentral:lncRNA from 1 species
ACCAUCUCACUUCACUGCAACUCUUCCUAUUUGACAAGAAGAAUUACCAAUCUUCAUUAAAACAAGAAAACCACAACCAUUUUUUCUCAAAACCAGAAAAAACAAAUAAAAACCAUGAAAACCACCAAUCUUCCUCCCCCACUACCGGCUUCUUAUGUUUUUUGAUUUUCUCAUCUAGGGUUUGUUUGAUUAGGGAUUUAUAUUUCAAUUUCUGAUAAGUGGUCUGCUAGAUCUGAAUGAGCCACAACUUAGGCAAGGGGCUGAUGGAGCCACAACGGUGGUCUCGCGCAAGACUGUUCUAUCGGGCAAACAAAUCCUCCACUGUGCGUGAUAUUCCUACGAACGGCUACAAUACAUGCGAUUGUCUACUGGGCAAACGUCUACGAUUGACCUACAUGGUGUGGUGAUCCUACAUGGUGUGGUGGUUAAUUUUCGAGGCGAUCAAUGAUGGAAAAGAGAUAGAGAGAGGUCACAAUUUUUAAUUUUUUUUUAAUUUUUAAUUUUUGGAAUGAGAUGGGUGAUGUGGGGAUAUGGAUGAUAAUAUGAAUUAUUAUUAAUAUAUUUAUUUAAUACGUAUUAAAUAAUAAAUUAUAAUCUGAAUUUUGAAAUAUAAAACUUAGAAUAUGAUUCAUGAAAUGUAAAUUUUAAAAACAAGCCUGUAUGUAAUUUCCACUUAUCAAAUACAUAGCCUACCAGAUAUCCAUCAAGCAUAAGUCCAUAUCAUUCAUCAAACUCUUAAAACAUAAUCCAGCCACCGUAAAUAACCAAGCCCAAGCCUAAUAGCUAGUGAAAUCCAGAAGCCCAGACACCAAACCAAACGUCAAUAGCCUAGAUGCAUGCCGACUACUCACAAAUUCUCCAGCCUAUUACUAUCAUCAUUAUCCAAUUCUCCAACAAGACUCUGCAGCUCCGAGAAAAAUCUUUUUCUAGUUUACCUCAAAAAAAAAAAAAAAAAAAAAAAAAAAAAAAAAAAAAAAAAAAAAAAAAAAAAAAAAUAAAAAAAAAAUAAAAAAAAAUAAAAAGAAAAAAGAAAAAAAAAUAGAGAAAAAACAUUUCAAGGAUAUUGUUCAGCAGCGAGGAAAAAAAAGUAAAAGUACAAAAAUUUACUAUUGUUUGCAGAAUAUGUGAUCUAUACUAUUCAUGUUGAUUGAAUGAGUCACUUGAGGAGAAUUCAAUUGCAGUAGCUCAUCGUCACGUGUUCUCUUCCACCAUAGUUAUGCUAACUUGAAGAUCAUAAUUUGGAUGCUAUUUGACUCUUUUAAGUCUCGCGAGG